GUUCAUCCGUCUUCUAUCGUGAAAGACUGGAAGUCGAUUAAACAAAAACACAUGCACCAGGAGCGGCCGUAUCGUGGGAGGACGACAAAAUUCAUACCUUGCGUGUGCCCAACUGUGCGCAGCAGCGGAUGGAUGGGCGCCGGCGCAUGCGACGUUUAGAGACAGGAGGCUCGGCUCAUUUUGGUAGCUUGCCUCUUGCAGUCCACGCCAACCAGCUGAAUUAAGUUAGCGUCCAUGUAAACCGGCUUGACUCCAGCCAAAACCGUGUCCAUAUCAGCAAAACAGGAUACAAAACCGUUUAGGGGUUAAUUUAACCCAGUAUUGAUAGGUGGAGCCAACAUUUAGGUUAGGAGGUGGGAUGGACAAACUGAGUAGUGAGAGGAGUAAAAUGGACCCUUUUUCCUCUGAUUUAAUUAGAAAGUUAUGAUCAAGAUAUGCAACAAAAUUACAAGCUUUGCUUGAUGGGCUGGGAAAUAAUUCGAUGAUCCGUAUGUUGAUUAGCUCCAGCAAUGAGUUAACUGAGCGCUACUUUAUUCCAUUGACAGGCAGAAGCACAGACGUCAGAUAUUAGCAGGUUCGCCUACACGGACGUAAUUAGUUCGUUUAUACGCCGUGUAAACCUUACACAGUGACCGGACGUAUCCAUUUAAUCACCUGUUUAGCAUGUCUAAUAUCCAUUUAACUUAUUUAAUUACUCAUUUAGUUGAAUAAAGAGCUAACCGGUAGUGGCCGACUGUUUAGCAUUUAUGAUGAAAUUAGAUAUUAAGAUUACCUAUCAUUUUACCCUCUUAAUCACUCUCUUAAUCAGCAUUAGCGUCUACUUAACCUUGACCCGUGACAUUUUGGCCCUGCAUCUGCAUGUACUCCCUUUGUCCCUUAGGCUAGUCCCAGUGCAAGGUUUCAUUGUACUGUUUCUAAGGAUGUCACGUCAUCCUAUGAGGUGUAUUCUCAUGAAUGAAACAGGGAGUCCCAGUGUACAGUUUCAUUUCACGAUUUCAUAGGAUGCUCAUGACAUUUAAUUGUGAGGUAUGUGAUUGGAUAUGGUUAGAUGGAAAUGAAACUCUAUAGUCCCCAAUGCAAGUUUCAAUAGGUUUCAUAGUCUUGGAAACAGUGUAUACACAGUUUCAUCCUGAUGAAACUCCUUCCCUCUCUCACUUCAUAACUACCAUGCCAUGUCAUCACAUAUGCUGAUGUGUCACCGUAUUUAAUGUGCAUGAAACCUUUAUCAAACUCCCACUGGGAUUAGCCUUAAUAUACAUCACCAUGGGAAACGUGCUGGUCACACUUUUUUAGUUUGACUACAUUAGUAGAAAACAUUAAUAACAUUUAUAUUUUUAAAUAAAUUUAUUAUGAAAAUGAAUUUAACGUUUUGUCUAAUGAUACUAAUUAUGUAUUAUAAAUAUUAAUUAUGUAUCAUAAAUAUUAAUAUUUUUUUAUAUAUAUUUGGUUAAA
rnacentral:lncRNA from 1 species